GGGGAAUGGGAAAGAAUGCAGCUUCGACAUUCCCUGGCUGGGAAAUAUAGCGGAGAGGGGGAGAGACGAGUACUGUUUUCAAGCACUGAAAUUGUAUGUGAAGAAAAAUUUGAAGAAAAAUCAUUUCAAGGAGGCCCUUGGGGCUGAAACUGAAAAACUGAAAGGAGACAGUUCUUGCAGAAAAUGCAGAGAGAAAGCAAAUGCAGAAAAGGAGCUGAGGACUAUUUAGGAAUUCCUGCCUGAAGUCACGUCUUCCACCCUGGACUGACUCGUGCCUCCACUUCUGUUUGCCUUGGACCCUGAAUCCUUCCCCCGGGAUCUGUGUUCUCUCAAGGUGGAUCAGACUUCACUCUGAUCCUGGACUUCUCCUGCCUGAUUACACUUCCUGCUUUCCUGCCUGUAUCCGCUCUCUCUCCUGUCUCAAAACUCAAACCUCCCCAGAGCCACAGACUGCCCCACACUCAAUAUCAAGUGUUGUGUUAAUAAAUCCUUCUUUGCUCAAA